UGAAAAUUAAACCGGGGUCCAUGGGAAAAGCCUCCCACCCCCGCUUAUGAUGUGCAAGAUGAUCCAGGAAAAACUACUGCAAUACUACAUGGGAAUUUUUAUAUCACUGGGGACAGAGGGACUGUGGAUGAAGAUGGAUACUUGUGGUUUGUAGGAAGAGUGGAUGAUGUCAUCAUCUCCUCUGGGUAUCGUAUUGGAGCGUUUGAAGUACAAAGGGCCUUGAUCAAGCACCUGGCAGUAGCAGAAGCAGUUGUUGUCAGAAGCCCAGACCCACUCAGAGGAGAGGUGGUGAAAGCUUUUGUGUGGUCUUGUCUCCUGCCUUUACGUCACAUUAACUCCUGAGCUGCAAGUUCAUGUCAAGAAUGUUACUGCUCCAUACAAGUAUUCCAGAAAGGCAAGUAAUGAAAGGUGGAUUGAGAAACCCUGUUCUAACCAAGGAAGGGCUGAAGCUACAAAAAUUAGCUCUAGAUCAGUACCACAGAAAUAUUUUAUGACCAAAAGAAAGCCUAGUAGUAUAUGUGAUAUAGUAAAUAUGACAAAUAUACUGAAUAUUUCCCAUUAUAUAUUUCAAAUUAUAACAUACUUAAUGUUUGGGAAAUAUUGCAUAUGAAUAAAACGAUCA